CGACCUAGAACCUCCUGUGGCGGCAGGCCAGCGAGCAGAGAGAGAGAGAGAGAGAGAUGAGCGCCCCUUCUCCUGCAGUCCCGCCCCCCCUCCCAGCCUCUUACCCAGCCUCAAUCUGCCGGCGGGGAAUUUAGGAUUCCAGCGAGCAGGGGCGCAUCGGUGAUCCUUUGGCGCGCGGCUGCGACGGAAAUGGACUCGCCGGGUGUCCAUGGCGGAUGGCGGCGGCGACAGCGCGGAGACCUAUGUGGUCUGCCUGCAGAGCGUCGGCUCCACGAGAGCGAGUCGGAGGAUUUGGAAGGAGAGAUGGAUCCAAGCACUCUACGCAAUGAUAGGAUGAUUGCUCUUUCAACAUAUUCUAUUAGCGAGGAUGGCAAGUGAAAGUGGGAGCGACUGGAUCACUAUUCCUAUCAUGCAUUGUAGACAUGAUGCAUUGGACAUCUGUCUACAAAUUGUCCUCGGAUGAGUAAAUUCCAAUUAUCUUGCUGUGGUGUGCUGCUCUCUUUUGGCACUCAUUUUAUAUCACUACAAUUGUUCAAACAACAUGGAGGGUCAGUAAGGACGUUGUGGAUGCUGUAAGUUUGCUUGUCCUUGUAUGCCUUGCUUUCCCAUUUAGUAUGUAUAUCAGUUUAUUCAAUUAAGAAAGGCAUUUUAGACACUCACGAUAAGAAGUCGUCUCAAGAAGAGUGGCGCCAGAAUAACCAUAGCGGUCAAUAGGCGGAAGCGGGCAAGCGCGAAAGCCAUAUGUUGAGUUGGAGGCGGUGCAUUGCCAACAGAAGGAGGCAUGGUAGUCGAGGGAGAUGGCGCAUUAGAAGAAUCUACAACACGCGGACAACCAAUGUAGUAAAGAAGAGGGGAGGGGGGAGGUGUAUCGCUGGAGAAGCCUCAGGGGACGAGCGAGGUGAGGCAGCCUCAGGUAACGAAUGAGGUGGGGAAGCCGUAGGUGAUGACGACAUGGGGUUUACUAUAAUAGUAUGGAAGACACGGUGGGAUGGGUGGACAAGGACAAACCAUGAUUGAUAGGUGUAUCGGGAAAAGUAAGGAAAGAAAUGUCCUGAAUAGGAGGAUGGACGUGGAUCUAAAUCUGACAGUAGAGUGGGGGGUAGGUAUGGAAAGGCAAUGUCCUAGCUAUGGAGAGGUUGUAAACACAAGAGAUGUACGAGUUCAGGCCCUUCUCGGAGGAAGUAAAAGCCCUACGUCUCGGAGCCCGGAGGCGGUCGAGUGGAUUAUGUGUAUAUGGAUUACAGGGUGCCGAACCCCUCUGCCUGUGGAGGAGGGUGGCUUA